CCUACGGGGAGCUGCAGUGGGGAAUAUUGGACAAUGGGGGCAACCCUGAUCCAGCCAUGCCGCGUGUGUGAAGAAGGCCCUCGGGUUGUAAAGCACUUUCAGUGAGGAAGAACGCCUGGUGGUUAAUACCCAUCAGGAAAGACAUCACUCACAGAAGAAGCACCGGCUAACUCCGUGCCAGCAGCCGCGGUAAUACGGAGGGUGCGAGCGUUAAUCGGAAUUACUGGGCGUAAAGCGCGCGUAGGUGGCUUGAUAAGCCGGUUGUGAAAGCCCCGGGCUCAACCUGGGAACGGCAUCCGGAACUGUCAAGCUAGAGUGCAGGAGAGGAAGGUAGAAUUCCCGGUGUAGCGGUGAAAUGCGUAGAGAUCGGGAGGAAUACCAGUGGCGAAGGCGGCCUUCUGGACUGACACUGACACUGAGGUGCGAAAGCGUGGGUAGCAAACAGGAUUAGAUACCCCAGUAGUC
rnacentral:rRNA from 1 species